GGCUGUCGUCAGCUCGUGUCGUGAGAUGUUGGGUUAAGUCCCGCAACGAGCGCAACCCUUGUCAUUAGUUGCUACAUUCAGUUGGGCACUCUAAUGAGACUGCCGGUGACAACCGGAGAAGUGGGGAUGACGUCAAGUCCUCAUGGCCCUUAUAGGUGGGGCUACACACGUCAUACAAUGGAUGGUACAAAGGGUCGCCAACCCGCGAGGGGGAGCCAAUCCCAUAAAGCCAUUCGUAGUCCGGAUCGCAGUCUGCAACUCGACUGCGUGAAGCUGGAUUCGCUAGUAAUCGCGCAUCAGCCAUGGCCGCGGUCCGAAUACGUUCCGGCCUU
rnacentral:rRNA from 1 species